rnacentral:rRNA from 1 species
CCUACGGGGGGCAGCAGUGAGGAAUAUUGGUCAAUGGGCGGGAGACUGAACCAGCCAAGUCGCGUGAGGGAUGAAGGUACAGAGUAUCGUAAACCUCUUUUGUCAGGGAACAAAGGCGCGCACGUGUCCCCGGAUGAGUGUACCCGAAGAAAAAGCAUCGGCUAACUCCGUGCCAGCAGCCGCGGUAAUACGGAGGAUGCGAGCGUUAUCCGGAUUUAUUGGGUUUAAAGGGUGCGCAGGCGGACUGUUAAGUCAGCGGUCCAAGUCCGGGGCUCAACCCCGUCCAGCCGUUGAAACUGGCAGUC